CACGUAGGGUGCGAGCGUUGUCCGGAAUUAUUGGGCGUAAAGAGCUCGUAGGCGGUGUGUCGCGUCGGCCGUGAAAACCUGCAGCUUAACUGUGGGCUUGCGGUCGAUACGGGCAUCACUGGAGUUCGGCAGGGGAGACUGGAAUUCCUGGUGUAGCGGUGAAAUGCGCAGAUAUCAGGAGGAACACCGGUGGCGAAGGCGGGUCUCUGGGCCGAUACUGACGCUGAGGAGCGAAA
rnacentral:rRNA from 1 species